rnacentral:rRNA from 1 species
UAGGGAAUAUUGCACAAUGGGCGAAAGCCUGAUGCAGCAACGCCGCGUGUGCGAUGAAGGCCUUCGGGUCGUAAAGCACUUUUCUGGGAGAUGAGAAAGGACAGUAUCUCAGGAAUAAGUCUCGGCUAACUACGUGCCAGCAGCCGCGGUAAACCGUAGGAGGCAAGCGUUAUCCGGAUCCACUGGGUGUAAAGCGCGUGCAGGCGGUUCGGUAAGUUGGGCGUGAAAUCUCCUGGCUCAACUAGGAGAGGUCGUUCAAUACUACCGGACUUGAGAGUGGUAGAGGAAGAUGGAAUUCCCGGUGUAGUGGUGAAAUGCGUAGAUAUCGGGAGGAACACCAGUGGCGAAGGCGAUCUUCUGGACCAUUUCUGACGCUCAGACGCGACAGCUAGGGUAGCAAACG